rnacentral:rRNA from 1 species
UACAGAGGUCGCAAGCGUUGUUCGGAUUCAUUGGGCGUAAAGGGUGCGUAGGUGGCGGGGUAAGUCGGAUGUGAAAUCCCGGGGCUCAACCUCGGAGCUGCAUUCGAUACUGCUUUGCUUGAGUACUGGAGAGGAGAUUGGAAUUUACGGUGUAGCAGUGAAAUGCGUAGAUAUCGUCAGGAAGACCAGUGGCGAAGGCGGAUCUCUGGACAGUUACUGACACUGAGGCACGAAGGCCAGGGGAGCAAACGGG